GGAGGUGGUCAAAUUGUUUGCGAACAGACAGUCAAUUAAGAUGCGAAUGGAGUCUAUGUCAGAUGAAAUUACGCACUUAAACCGUCCGGGGGUUCAAAUCCCCCCAGCUCCACCA
rnacentral:tRNA from 1 species